CGGAUUGGAGUCUGCAACUCGACUCCAUGAAGUCGGAAUCGCUAGUAAUCGUGGAUCAGAAUGCCACGGUGAAUACGUUCCCGGGCCUUGUACACACCGCCCGUCACACCAUGGGAGUGGGUUGCAAAAGAAGUAGGUAGCUUAACCUUCGGGAGGGCGCUUACCACUUUGUGAUUCAUGACUGGGGUGAAGUCGUAACAAGGUAACCGUAGGGGAACC
rnacentral:rRNA from 1 species